rnacentral:rRNA from 1 species
UGAGGAACUUGUCCCGGUCUCUGGGAUAACAGUUGGAAACGACUGCUAAUACCGGAUGACGUCGGAACUUCGCAUGGAGUACUGACGAAAGGGUUACUGGAUCGGGAGAGCCUCGCGGCCUAUCAGCUUGUUGGUGGGGUAAUGGCCCACCAAGGCGACGACGGGUAGCCGGCCUGAGAGGGUGACCGGCCACACUGGGACUGAGACACGGCCCAGACUCCUACGGGAGGCAGCAG